rnacentral:rRNA from 1 species
AGGGGACACGCAAGUGGAAGGGAUCGAGCCAGGCUGCCAAGAAAAUCCUCUAAGCGAUGAGCCGUAGGUGCCCGUACCGCAAACCGACACAGGUGGGCUGGUAGAACAUACUAAGGCGAACGGGAGAACCCUCGUUAAGGAAUUAGGCAAUUUAACCCCGUAACUUCGGGAAAAGGGGUGCCUUCUAGGGUGAAGUUUGCACAGAUGGAGCUCUGGGAGGUCGCAGUGAAAUGGCUCUAGUGACUGGUUACCAAAACCACAGGUCUCUGCGAACUCGAAAGAGGACGUAUAGGGGCUGACACCUGCCCAGUGCCGGAAGGUUAAGGGGAGGGGUCACCUGGGCGAAAGCCUGGGGAAGCUCAGAACCGAAGCCCCGGUGAACGGCGGCCGUAACAAUAACGGUCCUAAGGUAGCGAAAUUCCUUGUCGGGUAAGUUCCGACCCGCACGAACGGUGUAACAACUAGAGCAGUGUCUCGACGAGGGACCCGGCGAAAUUGAAGACGCGGUAAAGAUACCGAGUACCCGCAGCAGGACAAAAAGACCCCGUGGAGCUUUACUGUAACUUGGCACUGCAUUAGGGUUGUGCUUGUGUAGGAUAGGUGGGAGGCGGAGAAGCCUGGUCGCUAGACUGGGUGGAGCCGACGGUGAAAUACCACCCUGGCGCAAUCUUGAUGCUAACCCGCAGCCGUAAGCCGGUGUGGGGACCGUGCCAGGCGGGCAGUUUGACUGGGGUGGUCGCCUCCUAAAAGGUAACGGAGGCGCCCAAAGGUUCCCUCAGGUGGAAUGGAAACCCACCGCAGAGUGCGAAGGCAAAAGGGAGCUUGACAGCGAGACAAACAGGUCGAGCAGAGACGAAAGUCGGGCUUAGUGAUCCUACGGUUCCGAGUGGAAGGGCCGUGGCGAACGGAUAAAAGCUACCCCGGGGAUAACAGGGUGGUGAGGCCCAAGAGUUCACAUCGACGGCCUCGCUCGCCACCUCGAUGUCGGCUCAACACAUCCUGGGGUUGGACAAGGUCCCAAGGGUUGGACUGUUCGUCCAUUAAAGUGUUACGCGAGCUGGGUUCAGACCGUCGUGAGACAGGUCGGUCUCUAUCCGCUGUGGGCGAAGGGGACUUGAGGGGAACUGCCCUCAGUACGAGAGGACCAGGGUGGACGGGCCGCUGGUGUGUCAGUUGUGUCGCCAGACGCAUCGCUGAGUAGCCAGGUCCGGCAAGGAUAACCGCUGAAAGCAUCUAAGUGGGAAGCCUGCCCCAAGAUGAGGUCCCCCACUCCGAGAAGGAGGUAAGGCCGCUGGAAGACGACCAGUUAGAUAGGCGGGAAGUGGAAGCGCAGCAAUGUGCGGAGCUAACCCGUACUAAAGGCCGAGGGCUUCUGUCG